GUGUUACAUUUGUUAUAAAUACGGAUCGUUUUCGCAUUCGUUAUUUUUUCCGUGUUUCUUCAUUGCUCUCUCUAUUUAGUAUACGUCACUGCCUGGAAUCGAACUCGGAAUCGAGGGGUUAAGAGUUACUGAACAAGGCCUAUCGCAUUCAAAACAAAGCAAGUAUAAAACGCAAUGAAGGGAGGAAGUAAAAAUUUUCUUUGUCAACUUACACAAAUGUGUUUCAUUUACUCUCAGGUGACCAUUAAUCCACUCGCAUAUUCUCCUGGCACACGUAUCGAACAUCUUUUCCACCCAUUCUUCUCCGUUAUUGCGGCAUCUUCUCUCGACGAUACAUCCCAUGCACUCUAAAGAAGAAUACAUACAUUAUAAUAAUAUCCAUUAAACAAUAUUAGAUAUUUUACAAGGCAGAUUUAUUAUAAAUUAGGAUUUUGACACAAGGCCAACAAGUUCUCCGGCGGAAAGGAGUCGAGAGCAAGUUGAAGGAAAGUGUUUGCCCAGAACCAUGAAAAAUUUCGUGGAGAUAUUAGUUUUACCAUUGAGUCCGAGAGGAGGAUUAAACCAGGCUGAAAUUCUCUUAUGUAAUCGUCUAAAUCCUUUAUAAUUGCUAGUGCCGAUCCCAGCAGGUUUAAAAUACUCUGCAUUGGCUUUGUGUAUAUUUUUUGGAAUAUUGAUAAUACCAAAUUGUACAAAGCUUUUUGAGAAUUUUACCAAACAAUUCGAUGAUCAUUGCUGACUUAAGGUAUGAGAUAGUCGUGUGCACUUGACUUGAAGUUUUUUUUUUUGAUUCGUGUCAAAGUGAUACUUUUCAUAAAUUACAUAUGACGUUAGUUAAAAGAAAACUCACUGUACACAAAAUACAAAUCAAAUACCAAGCCAUUCUCGAUAUUCAAAAAAGUGAAUAAAAAAAAAUAGAAGUUGCCAAACAGCUUGAAAUACUUCUUAGCACACUGUCUACAUGGAUAAAAUCAUCUUCUAAAAUCAAAGACGCCUACCAAAAUAGUGGUUUGUAACACAAGAGAAUUCAUUUCUGCAAAUAUUCAGACGUUGAAGGAGCACCACUUUUGUGGUUUCAGACUGCCCGAAUUCAGAAUAUCCCAGUAUUUUGGCCUAUUUUGCAAGCAUAAUCGCUCAAACUGGCGAAGAAUCUUCAACACACAAAUUUCAACUGUAGUGAAAGAUGCCUAAGUCGCUUCAAAUAACGCUAUAACAUAACUUUUAAAACUAUUAAUGAGGAAGCUAACAGCGUCGAAGUCAAACGAGUGGAUACAUAAUACACCAUUACACUACCAAGUAUUCGCCUGAUGACAUCUACAACACCGACCAAUCUGGACUUCACAAAUUGCUAACAUCCAAAUCACUACACGUAAAGGAGGACAAUGUAACGGUGGAAAACUCUCAAAAAGACUGAAUCACUGUCAUACUAUGCAUUAACAUGUUUGCCAUCCACAAACUUGCAUUGUUAGUGAUUGGAAAAUCAUUCAAUCCCAGGAGCUUCAAAGGCGUCAAAACGCUAAUCACAGAAAACAUUGGAAACAAAAAAGUUUGGAUGACUACAACUACAACAAUUUUCCCCGACUGGCUGCAGAAGUUGACCAAACCAUCAGACUUCAAAAACGAAAAAUUCCCCUAGUAUUGGACGUCCUGUCACACUCACACAUAAAUCCGCUCAUAAUUUAAUAGAAUUGGAAUGGGAUACUUAAACUAUAGUGCCUAUAAUAACAUAAAAAUUAAAAUCCUUUUGAACGAGGUUUAUUGAAGAAAAGAUUUUAAGCAAAACAUGAAGCAUGAUAUAAUGAUUUUUCUUGCGGUUAUUGUUAAGAAUUACCAUAUUUUAGUUUCCUGAAAUUUUCUCAAGGCAAGUAGUAGUAAGGCACCUGCUAUACAUGCAACACAUUCAAUAAACUGACAUCAUGCUGCAAGGACAUGCGAACACAUUUACAUCACAGUAAAACUUGCACAAAUAUUUACAAUAAUACCUUUCAAAGUCAACAAGUUACAAAAGUAUUAAACUCCAAACUCUAGGUGACAACAUACCUUAUGCCUUACACAAACCCCGCUCUGAUAAGUAACUACAAAAUCUACAGCCUUCUCGCAGCACAAUACAAAAAUACACAUUAUUUGUAAUGAAGUAAAGAAACAUGCAGUACGUCUACAAAUUUGCGAUACACUAAAGCAACGAAAUAUGUGCAACAUUUUAUAAACCACAAAAUUUUUUAAAUCAUUGAAAUAUGAGACAACGAGGUGUGUCUGUAUGUCAUUACUUGACUUGUUAAAAGUAAUAGCCAAAUUUCCCUCAAACCAUAUUUCUUGUCUCUUUUUAUGUUAGGGAAAAAUAGACAUGGAAUGUAAUCUUAUAUACGGGGUUUCCCAAAAUGAACGCAACCGAAUUUUUUAAAUUUCGCAAGAGCAAAAUAUUAUUAUAUUUCAGGUUUGAGCGUUGCAAUGCAUUAGUAAAGGAAACACAAUUGUAAAACUACCACAUUUAUUUGAUAUGACCACCUUUGUUUCGAAUGACAUCCUUAAGUCUAGGUGCGAAUGCUUCACACGCAACACGCAUCUCACUAAAAUGACACUCCAUCUUUUACCACCCAACACUACCUCAAGGUUUCAGCCUAUGGAUCAAGGGAUAGUAAAGAACAUCAAACCUCACUACCGACAUCUACUCGUAGGCAAGCUUAUAUCAUCAUUAGACAACAACUCAAAAUUUACUACAGAUACUGUGUUGGAUUCUUUGCAUUGGUUGUAAAGUGCCUGGUCGUAUGUCACUUGAACCACAAUAGCAAACUGCUUCAGACACGUUGGAUUUUCCAACAACACUCUGGACACUACUGAUGACAUAAAUAACGAAAUACCACUCACAGAAUUAUUUCGAUGAGCAAGAAAAGUAGGUGUUGACUUAUCUGACUCUUUCGAUGAAUACGUCUCUGUCGACGAUAACAUCAUCGCACCAAAAUCGAUUACUGACGGAGCCAUAAUAGACGCUAUCAUUCAAAAAUACAAUCCAACAGCUACAGAAACUGAGAAAACAUCUGACUCGGAAGAUUUAAUUCAACCAACAUCUACACCAUAUUCUGCAGUAACCUUAUGCUCUAACCUGAGACAAUUUAUUCAAAUCCACGUGAACUCUGCUGACUUGUUUGCGAUUCUUACUCAGUUGAAAAAUUUCAUAGAAAAAGUGAAAAGGAAAAGCAACAAGCAAAGUGUCAAAGAAGAUUAAUUUGUAUGUAGCAAUUCUAAAAGAUAAUAGUUUUUAUUUUGGAAAUACUUUUUGAUAAUAAAUGCAUACUUUUGAACACGUUAA